rnacentral:rRNA from 1 species
UACGUAGGGGCCGAGCGUUGUCCGGAGUUAUUGGGCGUAAAGCGCGCGCAGGCGGCUUCGCGCGCCCGCCGUGAAAGCCCCCGGCUUAACCGGGGAGAGUCGGUGGGGACGGCGGAGCUUGAGGGCGGGAGAGGUCGGUGGAAUUCCCGGUGUAGUGGUGAAAUGCGUAGAGAUCGGGAGGAACACCUGUGGCGAAGGCGGCCGACUGGGCCGACCCUGACGCUGAGGCACGAAAGCGUGGGGAGCAAACAGG